rnacentral:rRNA from 1 species
GUACACUCCUACGGGAGGCAGCAGUGGGGAAUAUUGCACAAUGGGCGCAAGCCUGAUGCAGCCAUGCCGCGUGUAUGAAGAAGGCCUUCGGGUUGUAAAGUACUUUCAGCGGGGAGGAAGGCAAUACGGUUAAUAACCGUGUUGAUUGACGUUACCCGCAGAAGAAGCACCGGCUAACUCCGUGCCAGCAGCCGCGGUAAUACGGAGGGUGCAAGCGUUAAUCGGAAUUACUGGGCGUAAAGCGCACGCAGGCGGUCUGUCAAGUCGGAUGUGAAAUCCCCGGGCUCAACCUGGGAACUGCAUUCGAAACUGGCAGGCUUGAGUCUUGUAGAGGGGGGUAGAAUUCCAGGUGUAGCGGUGAAAUGCGUAGAGAUCUGGAGGAAUACCGGUGGCGAAGGCGGCCCCCUGGACAAAGACUGACGCUCAGGUGCGAAAGCGUGGGGAGCAAACAGGAUUAGAAACCCUAGUAGUCCCA